ACCCGCUGAAUUUAAGCAUAUUACUAAGCGGAGGAAAAGAAACUAACAAGGAUUCCCUCAGUAGCGGCGAGCGAAGGGGGAAGAGCCCAGCGCCGAAUCCCCGUCCGGUGGGCGUGGGAAAUGUGGCGUACAGAAGACCUCUUGCCCGGCGCGGCUCGGUGGGCCCAAGUCCUCAUGAUCGAGGCUCAACCCGUGGACGGUGCGAGGCCGGUAGCGGCCCCCGUCGCGCCGGGGUUCGGUCUUCUCGGAGUCGGGUUGUUUGGGAACGCASCCCAAAGUGGGUGGUAAACUCCAUCUAAGGCUAAAUACCGGCACGAGACCGAUAGCAUACAAGUACCUUAAGGGAACGUUGAAAAGAACUUUGAAGAGAGAGUUCA
rnacentral:rRNA from 1 species